GACGAACGCUGGCGGCGUGCCUAAUACAUGCAAGUAGAACGCUGAAGGAGGAGCUUGCUCUUCUGGAUGAGUUGCGAACGGGUGAGUAACGCGUAGGUAACCUGCCUGGUAGCGGGGGAUAGCUAUUGGAAACGAUAGCUAAUACCGCAUAACAGUAGAUGUUGCAUGACAUUUACUUAAAAGGUGCAAUUGCGUCACUACCAGAUGGACCUGCGUUGUAUUAGCUAGUUGGUGGGGUAACGGCUCACCAAGGCGACGAUACAUAGCCGACCUGAGAGGGUGAUCGGCCACACUGGGACUGAGACACGGCCCAGACUCCUACGGGAGGCAGCAGUAGGGAAUCUUCGGCAAUGGACGGAAGUCUGACCGAGCAACGCCGCGUGAGUGAAGAAGGUUUUCGGAUCGUAAAGCUCUGUUGUAAGAGAAGAACGAGUGUGAGAGUGGAAAGUUCACACUGUGACGGUAUCUUACCAGAAAGGGACGGCUAACUACGUG
rnacentral:rRNA from 1 species